UACGAGAGGGACAAGUGUUGUUCGUCCUGACUGGGCGUAAAGGGCACGUAGACCACCAUUCUUAUGGGCAAAGCAAAGGCUGUGCAGGGAGUGCAUAGAAGGUUUUGCUACAUUCAUUGUGGUUAGAGUUACGACUCGGGAUCAUAGAAAUUUUUUAUUGGGCUAGAAUCCUAAAAAAAAUAAAUUGCCGAUAACGGUGAAGGCGUUGAUCUGGAGGUAACUGACGUUUAGGUGCGAAAGUAUGGGGAGCAAAUAGG
rnacentral:rRNA from 1 species